GAUGAACGCUAGCGGCAGGCUUAAUACAUGCAAGUCGAGGGGCAGCAGGACUGUAGCAAUACAGUUGCUGGCGACCGGCAAACGGGUGCGGAACACGUACGCAACCUACCCAAAACUGGGGGAUAGCCCGGGGAAACCCGGAUUAAUACCUCGUAACCUUUUUAAGUGGCAUCACUUGAUAAGUAUAGCUCCGGCGGUUUUGGAUGGGCGUGCGCCUGAUUAGGUAGUUGGUGCGGGUAACGGCCCACCAAGCCUGCGAUCAGUAACUGGUGUGAGAGCACGACCAGUCACACGGGCACUGAGACACGGGCCCGACUCCUACGGGAGGCAGCAGUAAGGAAUAGUGGUCAAUGGACGCAAGUCUGAACCAGCCAUGCCGCGUGAAGGAGGAAGGUCCUCUGGAUUGUAAACUUCUUUUAUGGGGGACGAAACCCGGAUAUUCUUAUCCGAUUGACGGUACCUCAGGAAUAAGCACCGGCUAACUCCGUG
rnacentral:rRNA from 1 species